rfam:Micromonospora yangpuensis strain DSM 45577 genome assembly, contig: Ga0070617_12
CGAGUCGACCGGGCGGUCGCGUCGACGGGCUCCGGCCCGUCGCCGAGGAACGUCCGGACUCCACAGGGCAGGGUGGUUGUUAACGGCAACCCGGGGCGACCCGCGGGACAGUGCCACAGAAAACAGACCGCCGACCCCGUACGGGGACGGUAAGGGUGAAACGGUGGGGUAAGAGCCCACCAGCACCCCGGGUGACCGGGGUGGCUCGGUAAACCCCACCCGGAGCAAGGCCAAGCAAGGGCCGUCAUCGCAAGCUGACGACCCGGCGCAGACGCUUGAGGGCUGCCCGCCCGAUGUCUGCGGGUAGGCCGCUGGAGCCUGCCGGCAACGGUAGGCCGAGAUGGAUGGCCGCCGCCGAUGCGGACCCCGCAAGGGGUACGCGUCGCGCACAGAAUCCGGCGUACAGGUCGACUCGUCCG